UCAGGUUUUUUCUUCAACAGCGGCUUUGCUUCUGGUUCUACGGCUUCUGCUACGUUUUUGUGACUUCUACUCUGAUCUUCGAUUUCUGGGGACCUAGUAAGCUAUUCUUGCCAUCUUGUACUUUUCUUUGUUACCUUGUUUCAUGGGAGAUCGAGAACGUUUGAUUCGUUUGAGAGGUCUUCUGAGUCUGUCAUUGGGAUGCCGCAUGGGACUGUUAGGGUAGUCACUGGCCAUCGUUGUUCUUCGACAAAGAAGGUUGCUGCCUCGCGGAAAGCAAGGGUUAAGUUUUCCAUCGGGGUUCGCGGUCCCACCGUUUGCUUACAUGUGGGUGAAGUAGCAUCUAAGAUUUCCCCUGCAGAAUUAGAGAAGUUUCGUAGGGUGUAUCAUAUUACAGCUUUUGUGGAGCUUUGAGUUCCUGAGGCGUUGGAGAGGGCUAAUCGUCCCCGCAAAGGGGAGAUAUGUGUGUAUGAGUCCUCUCUCAUCAACAAAUUGUGUUUACCAUUCGCCCCUUUUGUCUGUCAAGUUCUGAGGCACUAUAGAGUUGUACCCACUCAACUUGUCCCCAGUUAUUGGAAAAGCCUCUUGGGUUUCUAUGUCUGGUUGAGGAAUCUCGAUAGAGAACCCACCCUUCGUCUAUUUAUUAGUCUCUAUUCCCUUUAUGCUCACAAUGCCUUCUAUGGGUGAAUCUACUUCCGCCGCCAUAAGAAAGAGCACUAAAUUAUGUAUGGGCUACUGACCUUGAUCCCUUAGUGGAAGGACGGUUUCUUCUUUGCUCAUCCUUCCCAGCCUUACAACAUACUGACUCGGUGGUUGUUGGUGAACAUGGGGAGAGAGAACAAGAGACCUACUCUUUGGGAUGAUGAGGAAGAAGUCAUGACAUUGCUGACUCGUUGUGUUCAAGUGGUCCUUGCGUCCCAACUAUCCCAUGACCAAUACCUAUUGAGCUCCAAUGGAUAGGAAUUACAUGAUGAACAUUAUGGACCUGGCCCUUAAGGAGGAGGCCACUCCAGAGCAGGGCACUGGUAAUGGGGGUGGCGACCUUCCUGUCGCCAAGCAGGGCAACCGUCUCGAGCAUGAUGCUCCUCCCAUUGUGGAUGUGGGUAACAUUCUGUUGAGGGAAUUUGCAAAGGCAUCGAACAAUCUUCUUCUCUCUCUGUAGUUGCUACGAGGAAAUAGUGGUGCGAAGGGGAGGUCACUGGUGAGUCAAGAGGGGUGAGGCGAUCUGAAUGAAGAAUCUCUGACUACGUCCUGUUCCCCGAGCUUGGAGGUUACUGGGGUGAAUUCUGGGAGCAGGGUCGCAGAUGCCCCUCAGGUAAUGGAUGUCCAAACCUCCAAUAGUAUACAAAAGAGGCAUCGUCUGGUCAAGGGCAAGGCGCUAGUUGUGUCUUCCGAGGAACCUUACAUUCCUCAGUACGGUCUCACUUGUGGGCAGUCUAUCCAGGUUAGUCUAUCCACAACGACCUUGCGUUUGCACAGGCUGUUGUACUGGAGGGGUCGUUGCCAAAGGACAGAGCGGCAUAUAAGGGGGAGGGGUUUCCAUCCCUUCUCGAUCAACAUUUGGCUGAGGGCCAAGCAUUGUUCAGUGAGCUCUUGAUGAGGGCCAAUGAAUAUUAUCGGUCAGCUGGGGAAAGCAGGAAGAAAAUUCAUGAAGGGUUGGAAACAUGCGGCCAAGUUGAAAGACAAACUUGAUGAGACGAUGAAGGGUAAGGAAGAUACCAUACGUUUGGUUAGCUUUUAAGAUGCCAAGAUUAAAGGCUUGCAAAGCUGUGUUGAGCAAGCUAACACAACAUCCCUUGCAACGACCUCGAAGGCGCUGGCUACUAAGGAGAAGCUUAAGACGUGUGAGCUCGAUCGUCAUUACGUUGCCAACGACCUUGAUACUAUGAAGAAGCAAGUGAUGGUCUCAAAUGUUGCUCAGGACAACGAGAGGCAGCAACUGGCGCAGGCGAGGGCUCUUGUUGAAGGAGGGUGAAAAGGGUGUUAUGGCAAGGUAUAAAGCCUCAGAGGAGUUUAGUCAAUAGAAGGCCCUGGUUGGGGUUUGUUUGCAUUUGUAAGGCAUACUAACUGUUUGUGAGGAGGUAGAGCGGAUCAACCCUGGGCUCGACCUUAGCCUUUUCUCGCCAGAAUGGGAGAAAGUAAAUCUACUUAGGGUCCAAGUGCCUCCUAGGUCAUCAAGCAUCGUGGUGCAAGUAGGCAAGGAAGUUACUCUCAUAGAUAAAGGUCAGCAUGGCAUGCCGGAGUAGACAAUAUUGUUGGGGCCUCAUUCACAGGAAAGCUAGCACUGCUAAUCCUACGCUUUCCUCAACUCUUGCUCCUCGUCCUGUCAGUCUGAAUACUCUAGAGACCACUCCUUCUGCCCCUGAAGCUAUCAUCACUGACCCUCAUGCUUUUGAAGCCAUUCCUACUGCUACAAGUCCUGAUAUUGAUCCUCAUGCCUUAGAUGCUUCACUAGAUGCUCCCUCAAAUGGUGUCACCUUGCCUAUCCAUGAAAACUAAUAGUGUGGCCUUCUUUGUUUCUCCUUUUCUCUUCUUUUUGUGUGAAUUAUUGCUAGCUUGUCCUAUAUUGCCCUCAUCCCUUUUUUGUUGUAGCUAGCUCUUCCUAUGUAAUUACUUAUUGAUGUAAUGACAAUUCUUGUGCUUAUUUGACUA